GAGACCGAAGUGCGAGGGCAUAACGUCCUCGCUUUUGUGUAUCGUAAGGUGGUACACGAAUAAGAGCUGGGCAAGACCGGUGCCAGCCGCCGCGGUAAUACCGGCAGCUCAAGUGAUGGCCAAUUUUAUUGGGCCUAAAGCGUCCGUAGCCGGCCAGA
rnacentral:rRNA from 1 species